AAACUCGUGAAGAAAAAGGCGUUGCACGUUACGUUGUCUUCACUUUGAGCUAAAAAUCAGCUAGUAAGGAGUGUGUUGUCGUAUUUUCUGCACACCUAAGGUUGUUUAUAUCGUGUGCAAGUUGAGGAACUUGAGACAUUUGAUGGCCUACGGUUUGAACUUUUGAAGUCGUGUUGGAUUGUUGUAUGCUAAAAGGCUGAGGAAAUGUCCGAGAAGAGGCUUGAGGUUGGCCAUUGCAGAUGAAGU